rnacentral:rRNA from 1 species
GCUCAUGGCCAUAAUGGCAUCUGCAUGCUUGUUCUUGUCUGGUCACAGACUCUAGGCAGGAUCAGGCUUGGUGGGUCCAUGAAUGGGAGACUGCAUUGGAACAGCAAGUGCUAUGAAUG